AAUAGUUGACAAUGGGCGCAAGCCUGAUCCAGCCAUGCCGCGUGUGUGAUGAAGGCCUUAGGGUUGUAAAGCUCUUUCAGUGGGGAAGAUAAUGACGGUACCCACAGAAGAAGCCCCGGCGGACGUCGGGCCAGCAGCCGCGGUAAUACGAAGGGGGCUAGCGUUGUUCGGAUUUACUGGGCGUAAAGCGCACGUAGGCGGAUUGGUCAGUUAGGGGUGAAAUCCCGGAGCUCAACUCCGGAACUGCCUUUAAUACUGCCAGUCUAGAGACCGAGAGAGGUGAGUGGAACUCCUAGUGUAGAGGUGGAAUUCGUAGAUAUUAGGAAGAACACCAGUGGCGAAGGCGGCUCACUGGCUCGGUACUGACGAUGAGGUGCGAAAGCGUGGGGAGCAAACA
rnacentral:rRNA from 1 species